rnacentral:tRNA from 1 species
AGGAUUUUAAGUUAAGAAAACUAUUAACCUUCAAAGUUAAAAAUAAUUUAUGUUAAAUCUUA